CCUACGGGAUGCAGCAGGGGGGGAUAUUGCACAAUGGGCGCAAGCCUGAUGCAGCCAUGCCGCGUGUAAGAAGAAGGCCUUCGGGUUGUAAAGUACUUUCAGCGGGGAGGAAGGUGAUAAGGUUAAUAACCUUGUCGAUUGACGUUACCCGCAGAAGAAGCACCGGUUAACUCCGUGCCAGCAGCCGCGGUAAUACGGAGGGUGCAAGCGUUAAUCGGAAUUACUGGGCGUAAAGCGCACGCAGGCGGUCUGUCAAGUCGGAUGUGAAAUCCCCGGGCUCAACCUGGGAACUGCAUUCGAAACUGGCAGGCUAGAGUCUUGUAGAGGGGGGUAGAAUUCCAGGUGUAGCGGUGAAAUGCGUAGAGAUCUGGAGGAGUACCGGUGGCGAAGGCGGCCCCCUGGACAAGGACUGACGCUCAGGUGCGAAAGCGUGGGGAGCAAACAGGAUUAGAUACCCCUGUAGUC
rnacentral:rRNA from 1 species